rnacentral:rRNA from 1 species
GAUGAACGCUAGCUACAGGCUUAACACAUGCAAGUCGAGGGGCAUCAGGAAGAAAGCUUGCUUUCUUUGCUGGCGACCGGCGCACGGGUGAGUAACACGUAUCCAACCUGCCCUUUACUCGGGGAUAGCCUUUCGAAAGAAAGAUUAAUACCCGAUAGCAUAAUGAUUCCGCAUGGUUUCAUUAUUAAAGGAUUCCGGUAAAGGAUGGGGAUGCGUUCCAUUAGGUUGUUGGUGAGGUAACGGCCCACCAAGCCUUCGAUGGAUAGGGGUUCUGAGAGGAAGGUCCCCCACAUUGGAACUGAGACACGGUCCAAACUCCUACGGGAGGCAGCAGUGAGGAAUAUUGGUCAAUGGGCGCUAGCCUGAACCAGCCAAGUAGCGUGAAGGAUGAAGGCUCUAUGGGUCGUAAACUUCUUUUAUAUAAGAAUAAAGUGCAGUAUGUAUACUGUUUUGUAUGUAUUAUAUGAAUAAGGAUCGGCUAACUCCGUGCCAGCAGCCGCGGUAAUACGGAGGAUCCGAGCGUUAUCCGGAUUUAUUGGGUUUAAAGGGAGCGUAGGUGGACUGGUAAGUCAGUUGUGAAAGUUUGCGGCUCAACCGUAAAAUUGCAGUUGAUACUGUCAGUCUUGAGUACAGUAGAGGUGGGCGGAAUUCGUGGUGUAGCGGUGAAAUGCUUAGAUAUCACGAAGAACUCCGAUUGCGAAGGCAGCUCACUGGACUGCAACUGACACUGAUGCUCGAAAGUGUGGGUAUCAAACAGGAUUAGAUACCCUGGUAGUCCACACAGUAAACGAUGAAUACUCGCUGUUUGCGAUAUACAGUAAGCGGCCAAGCGAAAGCAUUAAGUAUUCCACCUGGGGAGUACGCCGGCAACGGUGAAACUCAAAGGAAUUGACGGGGGCCCGCACAAGCGGAGGAACAUGUGGUUUAAUUCGAUGAUACGCGAGGAACCUUACCCGGGCUUAAAUUGCAGUGGAAUGAUGUGGAAACAUGUCAGUGAGCAAUCACCGCUGUGAAGGUGCUGCAUGGUUGUCGUCAGCUCGUGCCGUGAGGUGUCGGCUUAAGUGCCAUAACGAGCGCAACCCUUAUCUUCAGUUACUAACAGGUCAUGCUGAGGACUCUGGAGAGACUGCCGUCGUAAGAUGUGAGGAAGGUGGGGAUGACGUCAAAUCAGCACGGCCCUUACGUCCGGGGCUACACACGUGUUACAAUGGGGGGUACAGAAGGCAGCUAGCGGGUGACCGUAUGCUAAUCCCAAAAUCCUCUCUCAGUUCGGAUCGAAGUCUGCAACCCGACUUCGUGAAGCUGGAUUCGCUAGUAAUCGCGCAUUCAGCCACGGCGCGGUGAAUACGUUCCCGGGCCU